UUAAAAAUGCUGAUAAGAGCCGAUGACACCUGUUGUUUCACACUUAUUUUGCUCAACCUUGUCUGUUAAAUCCCAGCUUUUAUUACAUUAAUUCUCUUCAGCUUUUCUUCUGUUUCAGCUUUAGCCCUCUCACUCUGGUGAGCAUGUAAACUUAUAGUAUGUCUUGAAAGCUACAUUUUAUUGAGCAAACAUAUCAGCAUGUCUACACACCAAAGACAUCACUAUAGCAGAAGCAACUGUAGUUAAGGGGAGUCUUGCCAAGUCUAGAGGCUGAAAACACAAAAGGUCUUGGGAUCUGCAAGCACUUUACAGGUCAAUGGGUGAGAAGCUUUUUCCUAUGAUGGCCCCUGGAGGAAUGGAAUACGCCUUAACAUGCACUUCACCACACCUAGAAGGAGCACCGACAAGAGCCGGAGUGCGUUUCUGCCGGCAAAAUUAUGCAGGCACAAACCUGGGUGGCUUGUGUUGUCACCAGACGAACAUUGUCGUGAUGAUACGUAAUUGCUACUUUCCAAAGAAUGUCUGCUUUAAGUACUUCCUAACCAUCAGUAAUUUCUCCUCUGAAGCAUUUAAUAAAUAUAAUGUCCAAUAUGGAUUUUGUUUCUGGGCAGAAAAAUUUUAAGAUUUCAUACAGAAGUUUUCUGUUGACAGCUGUAGGGCAUGGAAGACAGAACUCUAUGAGCAGAACGGGCCCUCCUGCUUUUGGGUAAAAAUACAUGUUUUGAACUACAAAAUGCACCAGGAUUCAUAAAUGACUGUAAAUCCCAGAUCAUACAUAUUUGCAUUCAUAGUAUCAUCUUGGGAUAUUUCUACACUGGAGUCCCGUUCCCCCACCCCACUCCAGUAAUAGUACAAUUUUAAUCUGUUCAUUCUUAAUUGGUUUUAAGAGUUUUAACUGUUUAUUUUUAAUACUGUUAAUAGUUAAUUCUAUUUUAAUGUUUGUAUAUAUUAGGAUUUUAAAUUUUGUGUUGGUUUUACUGUAAUCUGCUUUGAGUCUCUUUUGGUAGAAAAAGUGGGACAAUAACAACAACAACAACAACAUUAAUAAUUACCUAAAAUUUUAGAUUGCAUGCUUUUCAAAAUAUUAAAUUCUUAAGCUUACCCCACUGCCCCAUUCCUAAGGGCCAAUAUGUAUAAUAAGCUUUAGAAGCAAACUGAUAUUAGGAUUUUGUAUGCCCUGUUGUAACUGUGUACAGUGGUGCUUUUUGCCCACCCAGUGAAUGUUUGUUUUGCCACCCUUCUCCCAUAAUGAUCAAUAUGCGUUUUAUGUUUUUCUGGUGUCAGUUUCUUCUUGAAAACUUAUUACUAUGUUCACCAAACAAGUGGGUAAGAACCCACUCAAAAACUCAAAUAAGACGAUCAUUAUACCCUGGUUUUAUCACUCAGUUUGGAAAUGGGUGAAAUGCCAUGAGGCUAUUGCUCGCAACAACCUUCAUAUUCUGCUGGGGUCUUGUAUUAGCGGCAUACCUCCAGUUCACUACUAUGCCUUCCAGACUGAAGUGAAGUGAGGUGAGCAACAGCUCCAGUUACAAGGAAAAAUCCACAUAGACAUUGAUGACACUGACAAGGCUUCCCUCUGCACUGUCCAGUGCUUCCCUCUGUUUUGCAAGGAGUCAUCUCUUCUUCGUAGUGACCUUCCUUGUCCUCCCAUAGGCUAACUAGACGGCAGUUCCCUUUCAAAGGAGUCCUAACUGGCAGAGGAGGGCUGCCAUAUUUAUCAGACAUCAAAAUGGUGAUUAAAAGAAUAUACAGGAACUAGAUAAUGUUCAACUGACACAGAAUCACGUCAGUAUUAUAUGAAUGCAUAGCAUUUUUUUCUUCUA